rnacentral:rRNA from 1 species
AUUGAACGCUGGCGGCAUGCCUUACACAUGCAAGUCGAACGGCAGCGCGGGGCAACCUGGCGGCGAGUGGCGAACGGGUGAGUAAUAUAUCGGAACGUGCCCUGGAGUGGGGGAUAACGUAGCGAAAGUUACGCUAAUACCGCAUACGAUCUGAGGAUGAAAGCAGGGGACCUUCGGGCCUUGUGCUCCUGGAGCGGCCGAUAUCUGAUUAGCUAGUUGGUGGGGUAAAAGCCUACCAAGGCGACGAUCAGUAGCUGGUCUGAGAGGACGACCAGCCACACUGGAACUGAGACACGGUCCAGACUCCUACGGGAGGCAGCAGUGGGGAAUUUUGGACAAUGGGGGGCAACCCUGAUCCAGCAAUGCCGCGUGUGUGAAGAAGGCCUCGGGUUGUUAAAGGACACUUUUGUCUAGGAACGAAACGGU